rnacentral:lncRNA from 1 species
GGGUUUCCCAAACCAAAACCAUGCGCCUUCCUCACAUACCUGAGUAAGGUGUUGUCAGUACCCGUUUUGUUAUCGAAUAGUUUAGACCAUGAGUGGUGUAGUCUUAUUUAAAAGUAUUAAAAUGUCAUUCAACAAAUAUAUUGAUUUGUCGAGGAUUUCAUCGAAGUGAAAACUUUUGUCAUUUCUACUUUACAAUAUACUUUUCGAUUAUAUUUUCAGCAGGGCGACACCUUAAUUCACGGCCCAAAAGUUGUUAGGAUUAUCUGACUCGUAAGUGAUAACACAGAAAAACACAAUAACGAAUGUCAACAGAUACUUCAAGAAACAACUACGAAUUAUAUCGGUUUCAAAAUGAUGUAGUAUUGAAGGGACACCAAUGUAAACGAGAGAUUUCUUCAAUAGCUAAACAAAUCGGAAACUGAAAGUUUGGAGCUUCCGUAAUGCGAUGCUCCGUAUUUUACCUGCGUUGGAAACCUAUAGUGCGCAGAGCCGAAGCUAAAGAUUCCAUUGUGCGUUAUUUUUGAAGGUCCGUUUACAUGGCGAAUUCGUUCUGGAGAGAACAGUCCGUGAGAUAUUAAAGGUUUUGUGCUUUGUUUGCAUCAGAAACUUACGGUACAAGACUAUUCCAGUUUAAUCUAAAAUAUACUAGCAAUCUAUUUCUUAGGAUACAGCAAAUUCAAGCAGGAAGAACAACUUUGGCGUAAUAUAAUUUUAUUACGCAUAUUAAGAUUUGUUAAUUUUCCAGCAUCAUCGCAUAUUUGCAUUUGACUAUCAAACCCAUAUCAAUAGAUCCGACGGUUUUCGAAAUAAGUGCGUCUAACAAACAAACAGAAAAACUAAUUUAGAUCAGGUGUUAUUUUACAUAAAACUUCCAAAAAAUAAUUGAAAAUUUUAGUUUAACAGUUAAUUUUGUUAAAGUAAAAAAAUGCAUAUGCAAAUUCAUAUUGUGGGAAACACUAAAAACAUGAAUCAAAAUUUGUUAACGUCGACACCAUGAAUUAGUUUGCUUUUACGCUUUAUAUUUUAUUAUGUAGAGCAAUUUCUUAUUAAAGAGCUGACGGAUUUCACUUUUGCAUAACAUUGUUUGUAGUGGAAAAGCUUGAUUUUCACACAUAUUCAAAUUUUCCAAACUUUGGACUUUGUUUUCUUAAAACUGCAGAUUCAUGAUGUUGGCAUCGUGCCAAUAAUAUUCCGUUCUGUAAAUUGUUUAUUAUGGCUUUCAUACUCGAAAGCGAUCGAAUAAAGGCUUUAUUCUGAACCAAUCAUAUUAUAUAUUAAUAUUUUACUUUAGUUUUAUUAUUUUAAAAGGCAAAAUGCUGUAGAUGACGGAUCUACUCGUACUGUAGCUUGACAAAACAUAAAAACUUCUGAGUACUAGCAUGUCCAUAAUCGGUGAGUUCAAGGCAGAGGCUCGGUGCGGAUCGACGGUCCAACUUUCUUUCAAAAUAACUCUCUCGUCAUCAAACCUUUGAAUUUAAGAUAGGAGCUUUAGAGAAAAAAUCUUACUCAUCCUGAACUGUUUCACGAACUUUAAUACUAUAGAAAAAAGAUGGGAUCAUUGGGAAGUCACCAAGGAAUCCAGGGAUAUGAUUAUAUUUGAUUCCCGAUGAUCGGCGAUUGGGUUGGGAUACAUACACAAAGUAAAACUCUAGUUUAGGGAUAUGUAAAACCAUAAGCAACCCCUGUUUCGAAGGGCUGCGGUUUGAAUAGUGGUUGGCGGUGGUUCCACAAAUUCCAGUCAGGCGACGUAAACCUUCAAAGUGAGCCACGUGGACAUCCAGGACCAUCGAUUGACAAUGACGAGCUGCGUUUGCUAGUGGAAUCCGACACACGUCAGUCUAUGAGAG